CAAACGCACAGCUCCUGCAGCCGCGAUGUGGAUGGAGACGUUACUCCAGCCGCUGAAGAAACAGUCCGGAUAGAGCCGGAUGAAUCGCAUGUGGGCGCAGGUUUAAUCUCCGGCCGGCGUGCUGGGGUCUCUCGUCUUUGAUGGGAAGCCCCCCCACCCCCCAGUCACACAACACACAAAACGGCGACUAAGGGAGAGGACAACACGUGCAAUCAGGCUCUUGAAUGGCUGGCACCAGGCUUAACCCCUCGGUGGCUGGACACUGCAUCACACCUCCCAUGUAAAAAAAACAAGGUACCGUUGUUAACUGUGAGGAGACCCG
ensembl:lncRNA